rnacentral:tRNA from 1 species
GGGCAGGUAGCGAAGUGGUCAAACGCAACAGACUGUAAAUCUGUCGGCUCCGGCCUUCGGAGGUUCGAUUCCUCCCCUGCCCACAA